GUACCCAAAGUAUACUGAAGCCCAAGACAAAGACACCUCCUGUAAAGAAGAAGUCAGUUAAUCAGGGAAGGCCGUCAAGAAUCAACCUCGAUUCAGAUGAAGAGGAGGAAGUGGUAAAAAAUCAUGGUCCCACAAAGAAACGCCAGAUAAUCAGCGACGAUGAAGACAGUGACGACAUAUUUAACAAUGUUGACUUGGAUAAUUUAGUUCCAGAGCCAGAGCCUGUGAAAUCAGACCAGUAUCCACCCCAGACGCUGAUGCUGUUUACAGAAGAUGUGGAUG